rnacentral:rRNA from 1 species
GACGAACGCUGGCGGCGUGCUUAACACAUGCAAGUCGAACGAAGUGGCGAACGGGUGAGUAACGCGUAAUCAACCUGCCCUUCAGAGGGGGACAACAGUUGGAAACGACUGCUAAUACCGCAUACUGACGGAGGGGAUUGCGUCUGAUUAGCUCGUUGGAGGGGUAACGGCCAACCAAGGCGAUGAUCAGUAGCCGGUCUGAGAGGGUGUGCGGCCACAAGGGGACUGAUGCACGGCCCUUACUCCUACGGGAGGCAGCAGUGGGUAAUAUUGGACAAUGGACCAAAGUCUGAUCCAGCAAUUCUGUGUGCACGAGGAAGUUUUUCGGAAUUUAAAGUGCUUUCAGUUGGGAAGCGGUACCAACAGAAGAAGUGACGGCUAAAUACGUGCCAGCAGCCGCGGUAAUAC